rnacentral:lncRNA from 1 species
UCGAAGUUGCAAUGGGGGAACACCUCAGCCCGACCCAACGACAAGAGCUCAGAUUUGGUCCAGCGAAAUUAGGCCAUGUUCUCCGAGGUGCCGGGCGCAUGGAUCUUGUGGAACAUCAUAUCCACACCCGUCCAGGAGAGAAAGUGCGUAAACGGCCAUACCGGAUACCAGAAGCCCGGAGGAGUCACACAGUGAGUGGUCUAGCCCCAUAGUGCUGGUUCCGAAACCGGACGGAACCUUCCACUUCUGUAAUGACUCCCAGGGCCUGAACGAAGUCCGUAAGUUCGAUGCCUACCCCAUGCCCCAGGUGGACGAACUGAUCGACCGCUUGGGGAUGGCGAGAUACAUCAGCACCUUGGACCUGAUGAAGGGCACUGGCAGGUGCCACUGGCAGCGGCCUCCCGGGAGAAGACUGCCUUCUCCACCCCGGGGGGGCUAUACCACUACCGGGUUCUGCCUUUCGGGCUCCACGGGGCACCAGCGACCUUUCAGCGACUCAUGGACCGCGUCCUGCGGCCGCACGGUGAGUACGCCGCUGCUUAUCUGGAUGACAUAAUUGUGCAGUGACAGUUGGGAGUCACAUCUUUGUAGGUUACAGGCCGUGGUGGAUGCGCUAAGGGACGCAGGUCUGACCGCGAACCCCCACAAGUGCAAGCUGGGCUACGCCGAGGUGGAGUACCUGGGCUAUCAGAUCGGGAGGGGAAAUGUGAAACCUCAAGAAAAGAAAAUCGCUGCCAUUAAGGGAUGGCCAGUGAAGUCAUUCCUGGGGUUAGCAGGGUACUACAGUAGAUUCGUACCUAACUUUGCCGCAAUAGCUUCUCCCCUCACAGACUUAACAAAGGCACGACUACCCCAGUCGGUGCGAUGGACAGAGGACACAAAGGUGGCAUUCCAGGCCCUGAAGGAUGCGCUAUGUUCACACCCGGUACUUGUCACCCCGGACUUCUCAAAAAACCUCCUGGUCCAGACAGAUGCGUCUGACACAGGGGUAGGGGCCGUUUUGUCCCAAGAGCUGGAUGGCGAGGAGCACCCCAUCAGGUAUGUCAGCAGGAAACUCCUCCCGAGGGAGAAGAAAUACUCCAUUGUCGAGAAGGAGUGCCUCACCGUGAAGUGGGCACUGGACACCCUCAAGUAUUACCACCUCGGGAGGAAGUUCACCCUGAUCACUGACCAUGCCCCCCUUGUGUGGAUGGAAAGAGGUAAGGACAUGAAUGACCGUGUCACUCGCUGGUUCCUGUCCUUACAGCGAUUCUCUUUCUCUGUCAUCCACAGUUCGGGGGCCCAGCACAGCAAUGCGGACGCCCUAUCCCAGAGGGAUGCAAACCUAGCCCUUAGCCCUGACUGGGAGGGAGGCAUGCUAAGGGGUGGGGUAUCCCAGGAGAUCUACCCCGGGGGAUGGUAAUAGAGGGGAGGUAUGUGAGGCGACGUUGGCUCCCUCUGCUGGGAAUACGGGAGCUGGGCACCCCGACACCGACAGCUCUAAGUGGAGGUAAUUAGAGGAAAGCCAUGGAGGCCAAAUAAAAGGAGCACGGUGGCACACUGCGAGAGAGAAUGGGGAGAGACCGACACCAAGCCACAGUAGAGAAGAAGGACUGAGCCAAACCUAAGUGAUUUUCUUUGUUAUGUUUAUUUUCUGGUUAGUAAAGUUGUUUUUGCGGACUAAAGCCUCCCUGUCUCUGUCAAUCUCUGCACACUCAACCCAAUACCCCACGGUUUACCACACUCUUUACAAAACUGUUUCAGUUCAGCAAUAUUCUUGGGAUGUCUGGUGUGAACUGCUCUCUUGAGGUCAUGCCACAGUAUCUCAGUCGGAUUGAGGUUAGGACUCUGACUGGGCCACUCCAGAAGGCAUAUUUUCUUCUGUUGAAGCCAUUCUGCUGUUGGUUUACUUCUGUGUUUUGGGUCGUUGUCCUGUUGCAUCACCCAACUUCGGUUGAACUUCAAUUGCCGGACAGAUAGCCUAACAUUCUCCUAUAAAAUGUCUUGAUAAACUUGGGAAUUCAUUUUUUUGUCGACGAUAGCAAGCUGUCCAGGCCUUGAGGCAGCAAAGCAACCCCAAACAAUGAUGCUCCCUCUACCAUACUUUACCGUUGGGAUGAGGUUUUGAUGUUGGUGUGCUGUGCCUUUCAUCUGUCCACAGAAUAUUUUGCCAGUAGCGAUGUGGAACAUCCAGGUGCACUUUCACAAACUUCAGACUUGCAGCAAUGUUUUUUUUGGACGGCAGUGGCUUCUUCCGUGGUGUCCUCCCAUGAAAACCAUUCUUUAGUGUUUUACGUAUCGUAGACUCGUCAACAAAGAUCUCAGCAUGUUCCAGAGAUUUCUGUAAGUCUUUAGCUGACACUCUAGGAUUCUUAACCUCAUUGAGAAUUCUGUGCUGUGCUCUUGCAGUCCUCUUUGCAGGAUGGCCACUCCUAGGGAGAGUAGCAACAGUGCUGAACUUUCUCCAUUUAUAGACAAUGUGUCUUACCGUGGACUGAUGAACAUCAAGGCUUUUAGAGAUACUUUUGUAACCCUUCCAGCUUUAUGCAAGUCAACAAUUCUUAAGUCUUCUGAGAUCUCUUUUGUUCGAGGCGUGGUUCACAUCAGGCAAUGCUUCUUGUGAAUAGCAAACUCAAAAUGUGAGUUUUUU